ensembl:lncRNA
GUUACAACAAUAACAUUUAUUUUCUAUAAAUUGAGGUGUUUUUCUUAAUUCUCCUUCUUUGUAUUAGAAAAUACAUAAUUCUGAGCAGCUAUAAAAUAAAGGUUAGGAUAACAAAAGUAAUUAUUUUGCCAAAAAUGGACCCAUUUUCCACCACUUUGGAGUAUUUCUUACAAGCAAGUAAUUAGUUCUGUACUACAGGACUUCAUCCUCCCACGCAAGGAAAGGUUUUCUUCCCCUUUCCUUACGAAGGAGCAGCACUCCAUUGCCUGCUGCAGAGCACUGCAGAUGAAAUAAUGGCAGCAGGUAUUUCUCAUUUGUUUUAGUGUCUGUGAAUAUUCAACUCUUAUCUCUUCUGCACCGACAGACUCUGCUUUGGACCUGGUGAAAAAUGUAAACUUUAUCUCAACUAUGUCUUUGCCUCCAGCCUGCAGAGUGGCCUCUUCAGAGACCAGACAAUACUUAAAUGUCUCUCAGAGGAUGUGCCAAUGCAGUAUUUUCUGUCCGAGUCACUGGAGUUGGAAGGUGAUGAAGAUGGAGCUGAAGUUCAUGUUGAUUUGCUGGCAGGAGUCUCACUGUUCCUUCCCUGCUCACAACUCCUCUUUUCCACUCACAGCAGUGCCUGAGGAGAGUCAAAUGCCCAAACAGUUUUGGAAGUUAAGAGCCCACCUACCUUCUGACACACAGUGCACACACAUCACCUCUUGCAGUAAGCCCAGAACAGUCUGGCCUGCUGGGAUUUAUUUCUUUCCCACUUGAUGGCUAAUUACUUGCAAUUACCUUGCUUCUUUACCUGGAGAUGUAUUUCAGAGAUUAAUACAUUGAGAAAUGAGAGCUGCUCCUGUAAUUACAUGCUGUUGCAAGGACAGAUGGGAUUCCAGGCUCAUGAGCUCCAUUCCUCCCACAGGACCAAAGACUUCCAGCUUCCAUCUCCUCACAAGACCCACUGUAUUUCCUGGCUUGGCAUGGUUGGGAUGGCAUGUAGCUGUGGGAACACUGGCAAAGGCUGCCCCAUAACCCACCUACAAGGUGGCCUUGCCUUAGAAAUCUGUCCUCUUUCCAGAAAAAAACUCUCCUGUGGCUGAUCUGUCAGCUAACUUGGGUCUGAGAACAGCAGGCCUUUUCUUCCUCUCUUGCCUACCUUGCACCUUUUCUUUAGCUCCAUCUCAUACUUCAGCUGGAGAAGAUAACCACUAUUUUUUCAUUUAGCAGUAAAAAUAGGGAAUAACCUUUUCUUCUCUUGUAAGAUUGCUUAACCACAUGCCCCUCACUCUGAAAAUUAGACUUUAUUACACUUAAGCUUGUUCAGCACAAACACUCUGCCAAAUAUUUUGUAUUUAGAUUCUCUUUUCUCAUGGUCAUCCAAACAGAUACGUUGCCUGUUUUGACAUGAUUUUUUUUCCAGAGACAGUACUAAGUCAGAUGAAAGCUAUGACAUCAAAGUCUUCUUGGAUUUUCCAUGCUUUGCCCCAUGGAAACCAGAACAAUGGUGCACGAACUCUGUACUGCUCUCACAACGCAUCUGCAUUGCUUUAUUUUGGCUUUAGCUGACACAGAAGGUUAGAAAAGUAAGCUACAAAAAACUGUCAGGAAAUUUUAUUUUAUCCAAAGUGAAACCAAUCACUCAGUAAGCACUGCUUAACCUCAUGCAAAGCACGCUGAAGGGAAUCAAUGGAAAUAUUUUCUUUGGCUUCAGGUGGCUGUCAUGGCCUUAAAAAUUAAGGAUGGAGUUAAAAUUCAAAAUAAGCCACAUUCAUAGUUAGUUUUUUCUUCAGAAAGGCCUGUUGGGCUAAAAAAAGAAGGUUAAAAAAAGACCUUUGGUUUUUCUCUGCUAUACUAAAAAUGGCAUCUUGUGUUUGGUUAUGGAAUAAAUAGUGCUCAAACGUGCA